rnacentral:rRNA from 1 species
GCGAGUGAAGCGGCAACAGCUCAAAUUUGAAAUCUGGCCCUCGGGUCCGAGUUGUAAUUUGUAGAGGAUGCUUUUGGCGAGGUGCCUUCCGAGUUCCCUGGAACGGGACGCCAUAGAGGGUGAGAGCCCCGUCUGGUCGGACACCGAGCCUCUGUAAAGCUCCUUCGACGAGUCGAGUAGUUUGGGAAUGCUGCUCAAAAUGGGAGGUAUAUGUCUUCUAAAGCUAAAUAUUGGCCAGAGACCGAUAGCGCACAAGUAGAGUGAUCGAAAGAUGAAAAGCACUUUGAAAAGAGGGUUAAAAAGUACGUGAAAUUGUUGAAAGGGAAGCGCCUAUGACCAGACUUGAGCCCGGUGAAUCAUCCAGCGUUCUCGCUGGUGCACUUUGCCGGGCCCAGGCCAGCAUCAGUUUGGCGCGGGGGAUAAAGGUGACGGGAAUGUGGCUCCCUCGGGAGUGUUAUAGCCCGCUACGUAAUACCCUGCGCCGGACUGAGGUACGCGCAUUGCAAGGAUGCUGGCGUAUUGGUCAUCAGCGACCCGUCUUGA